UGGAGCUGCUCAUGCUGUUGUCCCAAGUAGCUCGUUGUCCACUUCAGCUUCAGCUAGAAGCUUCAGUGCUGCAGCAGGCGCUGACUCACACCUACGAUCAGAUCAGGGCUGUCACAUGCACACUUCUGGAAAAUUUAAAUCCAUUUGGACAAACCACACAGGGCA